GAUGAAGAACGUAGCGAAAUGCGAUACUUGGUGUGAAUUGCAGAAUCCCGUGAACCAUCGAGUCUUUGAACGCAAGUUGCGCCCGAAGCCACUAGGCCGAGGGCACGCCUGCCUGGGCGUCACACGUCGUUGCCCCCCCCCCAUCUACUCCUCCGGGAUUGCGGGGGGCGGAUGAUGGCCUCCCGUGCGCCUAGCCGCGCGGUUGGCAUAAAUACCAAGUCCUCGGCGACGCACGCCACGACAAUCGGUGGUUGCGAAACCUCGGUUGCCCGUCGUGUGCGUUCGUCGCGCAUCGAGGGCGCGAAAAAAUGCUCGGCUCCGGCUCGGCUUUCAACGCGACCCCAGGUCAGGCGGGGUUACCCGCUGAAUUUAAGCAUAUCAAUAAGCGGAGGA
rnacentral:misc_RNA from 1 species